rnacentral:rRNA from 1 species
AUUGAACGCUGGCGGCAGGCCUAACACAUGCAAGUCGAGCGGUAGAGAGGUGCUUGCAUCUCUUGAGAGCGGCGGACGGGUGAGUAAUGCCUAGGAAUCUGCCUAGUGGUGGGGGAUAACGUUCGGAAACGGACGCUAAUACCGCAUACGUCCUACGGGAGAAAGCGGGGGAUCUUCGGACCUCGCGCCAUUAGAUGAGCCUAGGUCGGAUUAGCUAGUUGGUGAGGUAAUGGCUCACCAAGGCGACGAUCCGUAACUGGUCUGAGAGGAUGAUCAGUCACAC